UUAAUACUCCCUCCGUCUCAUAUUAAGUGACUUUCUAUUACAUGUAUUUAGACGUAUUUUAGUAUAUAGAUACAUUCAUAUUUAGACAAAUUUAAGUCACUUGAUUUGAUAUGAGACAGAGGGAGUAUUAA
rnacentral:pre_miRNA from 1 species